UGAAAGGGCAGUUAUAGCUCGCUGGAUGGGGUUUCAGGAGAGUUUAAGGAUGAAGACCCGUGGCUCUUACUGUGUUUCUGCUGGUACAGUUGCCCUACAGCUUAUAGCCUGGUGCCUGGAUCCCUUAGUGCAAACGGGCCCUUUGCCUUUCCUAGAUGCAGACCCAGAAGAGCUGGUAGUCUUGGAUGAGCACCUCUCAGUCUACAGCAGGAUGUUCUCUUAGAGUCCCCUGCAUGAGCUUGGAGUAUGUAAAGAGGCCACACUGCAUAGAAGGAAAAGGUUCAAGCAGAACUUUCUCUUUAAAAUAUCCACUAUGUAAAGCUGGUUUUCCAUAUGCUUGGGAGAAUAUGGAGACUGUACUCUGUGUGAUGGGAUGCUAAGAAAUGUAUACAUGGGAGCAAGCAACUCUGUUACUAAUGCAGUAGCACAGAUUUGGAAAGAACCAAUGCUGUGGUUAAACUAAGAACAUGAAGGAUGACUUGCAAGUGACUUUUCCUAACACUUUUUCUUUCUCCUUCUGGCUGAGGUUUUUUUUUUUUUUGCACUCACUGAAGCUGAUAGUCUCCUUGUUUAAUUUUAGUUGCAGGCACUCUAGAUGAUCUUCAUUCAGUGUUUAAGCCAAAGUUUGUUGUGGACCAUGCCUACUUCUGACUGUCACAGACAUGUUGGACAAAAGCCAUUACUGAUAAGGCAGUUAAAUUCUGUGGAGCUACCAAGGGAUGAGCCUGGCCCAUACUCUUCAGCUUUCCUAUCAGUUUUUUGGCAGUACAGUGGGCUGCCAAAGAGAGGAUUGGAUUUCUGAUCAUGCAGUCAUUAGUCUUCAGCAGGUAUACCCUUGUCAGGCUUUAGUGAUUUGUCUGCAGCUCACCCAGUGUACAGUGACACUCCAGGAGAUGGCAGGUCCUAGUUUUUCCCAGUAGGGGAAUAUGACUUGGCUCAGUACAUUUGAUAAGAAAAAUUAAUGCAUUUGUUAUGGGAUGGAAGCUCUUCUUUCAUCUCUGACUUGGUGAGGUUCAUGGAAACCCAUCUUUCUUUUCAUGUUAAAUAAAGCUCCCACCACGGAUGCCAAA